GACAGAGGGUGCAAACGUUGUUCGGAAUUACUGGGCGUAAAGCGCAUGUAGGCGGCCAAGCAGGUCGGAUGUGAAAUCCCUCGGCUCAACCAAGGAAGUGCAUUCGAAACCGCAUGGCUCGAGUCCCGGAGAGGAAGGUGGAAUUCUCGGUGUAGAGGUGAAAUUCGUAGAUAUCGAGAGGAACACCGGUGGCGAAAGCGGCCUUCUGGACGAGGACUGACGCUGAGAUGCGAAAGCGUGGGGAG
rnacentral:rRNA from 1 species